GCAAAACGCGAAGAACCUUACCUGGCCUUGACAUACAGAGAACUUUCCAGAGAUGGAUUGGUGCCUUCGGGAACUCUGAUACAGGUGCUGCAUGGCUGUCGUCAGCUCGUGUCGUGAGAUGUUGGGUUAAGUCCCGCAACGAGCGCUAACCCUUUUCCUUAUUUGCCAGCACUUCGGGUGGGAACUUUAAGGAUACUGCCAGUGACAAACUGGAGGAAGGCGGGGACGACGUCAAGUCAUCAUGGCCCUUACGGCCAGGGCUACACACGUGCUACAAUGGUCGGUACAAAGGGUUGCUACUGCGCGAGCAGAUGCUAAUCUCAAAAAGCCGAUCGUAGUCCGGAUCGCAGUCUGCAACUCGACUGCGUGAAGUCGGAAUCGCUAGUAAUCGCGGAUCAGAAUGCCGCGGUGAAUACGUUCCCGGGUCUUGUACACACCG
rnacentral:rRNA from 1 species